rnacentral:rRNA from 1 species
AACGAACGCUGGCGGCAGGCUUAACACAUGCAAGUCGAACGCCCGUAGCAAUACGGGAGUGGCGGACGGGUGAGUAACGCGUGGGAACGUACCCUGAGGUACGGAAUAACCGAGGGAAACUUCGGCUAAUACCGUAUGAGCCCCGCAAGGGGGAAAGAUUUAUCGCCUUGGGAGCGGCCCGCGUCGGAUUAGCUAGUUGGUGGGGUAACGGCCUACCAAGGCUUCGAUCCGUAGCUGGUCUGAGAGGACGAUCAGCCACACUGGGACUGAGACACGGCCCAGACUCCUACGGGAGGCAGCAGUGGGGAAUCUUGCGCAAUGGGGGCAACCCUGACGCAGCCAUGCCGCGUGAACGAUGAAGGCCUUAGGGUUGUAAAGUUCUUUUACCCGUGACGAUGAUGACGGUAACGGGGGAGUAAGCUCCGGCUAACUUCGUG